AGUGAACGCUGGCGGUAGGCCUAACACAUGCCAGUCGAACGGCAGCACAGUAAGAGCUUGCUCUUAUGGGUGGCGAGUGGCGGACGGGUGAGGAAUACAUCGGAAUCUACUUUUUCGUGGGGGAUAACGUAGGGAAACUUACGCUAAUACCGCAUACGACCUACGGGUGAAAGCAGGGGAUCUUCGGACCUUGCGCGAUUGAAUGAGCCGAUGUCGGAUUAGCUAGUUGGCGGGGUAAAGGCCCACCAAGGCGACGAUCCGUAGCUGGUCUGAGAGGAUGAUCAGCCACACUGGAACUGAGACACGGUCCAGACUCCUACGGGAGGCAGCAGUGGGGAAUAUUGGACAAUGGGCGCAAGCCUGAUCCAGCCAUACCGCGUGGGUGAAGAAGGCCUUCGGGUUGUAAAGCCCUUUUGUUGGGAAAGAAAAGCAGCAGGUUAAUACCCCGCUGUUCUGACGGUACCCAAAGAAUAAGCACCGGCUAACUUCGUG
rnacentral:rRNA from 1 species